UUUCAAGUGAAAAAUUGUUGAAGAGCAAUUUUUAUUGCUUAAUUCAUACAAAUAUAUUGGUUAAUGAGGAAGAACAAAUUUUACCCAAAUUCCUAAAUUAUCUGAAAAAGUGAGCAGAAUUUGGCAGAUUGUUUCUAACGAAACUAAUCAUGGAUAUUUUUAAGUCAUUACUUUCAAAACCAACAGAUAAUAAUGAUGUGGCCUAUUGUUGAAGAAUAUGAGCAGGUAUUCAUACAAAUAUGGCGAUAGAGAGCUUGAAUAAAUAUCCGAAAUCUAAUAAAAUAGAAGGAAAAGAAAAUAAGAGUUGACAAGCUAUCAGAUUUGUUGGAAGAAAUAGUUGAUGAAAAGAUGUGGAUGAAAAUUAUGAGAAAUGAAAGACCUAACUCCAACAACUAUCAACAAAAAAUUUCUGUAGAAUCUCAUAAAAAAGCAGAAACAUGAAAGACUUAAUAGAGGAGGUCUGUAUAUGAUGAUAAAUAUUAUAAUACACAAUUUAUAUCAUCAUGUGAUCCAGAUUGUGGUUUAGGAUAUUGUAGUCAUUAUUAAAUAUGCUUGCACAAAUAUAAAUAAUAAAUUCUGUUUAAGAUGACGACAACAAUUUAGAAAUUAAUGAGCCAUCAACAAGUUAACUAUAAUGAAGAUGGGGGACAUUUUAUAGAUGAAACCAUUUCUAGUUCACAAAAUUUCACAUCUAUAAGCAAUGACACAGAAAAUGAUUUGCUGAAAUGUGUAAAACAAUUGAAGACUCUCAAUGCAGAAGGAAAGAGGAGAUUAUUUGCAACUAUCAAUGGAAAAUUUUCCAAACAUAGGGUCAAUGCCAAGAAGAACUAACAUCUAAGAAGUGAAAAUUGAGAAGCAAAUCUAUUUCCCAAGAAAAAAAUGAAUACAGAGACUACCAGAACUUCAUAGCAAAUAAUUUAGAACAUUGAAAUGAGAUUGACAAAAAAAUCGAGGUAAUAAAUUCUAACUGAACCAGCAUGUUACACAUAUAAGAGACGUACAAUGUUCAAAUGUGGAUAGAAGAACCAGUCAAUAUCAAAAUAAAAUAUGACAUACAUCCUUUACAUAAAUCAAUGAAAUUAAUUAUAAUUAAUAUAAUAUAAUUAUAUAUAAUUUUGAACAA